GAGACAGCAGUCGCCACGGUAAUACAGAGGAUGCAAGCGUUAUCCGGAAUGAUUGGGCGUAAAGCGUCUGUAGGUGGCUUUUCAGGUCCGCCGUCAAAUCCCAGGGCUCAACCCUGGACAGGCGGUGGAAACUACCAAGCUGGAGUACGGUAGGGGCAGAGGGAAUUUCCGGUGGAGAGGUGAAAUUCGUAGAUAUUCGCAAGAACACCAGUGGCGAAGGCGGCUUACUGGCUCGAAACUGACGCUGAGGCGCGAAAGCGUGGGGAGCAAACAGGAUUAGAUACCCCCGUAGUCCCUGUCUCUUAUAC
rnacentral:rRNA from 1 species